CUUGAACGACUUAAAAGUGUGUGACCAAAUUAAUUUUACUGAGAGUAUAAUAAAAAAAAAAGUUAAAAAAUGUCUAAGUUGAUGCUAAUAAUUUUCAUAGGAUUAUUGUCUGUUGUUGUUAUGACUAACGCACAACCAUCAAGUUAUUGCCUUAGUUGGGGUUCUGUGUGUUCUACGUGGUCUGAUAAAUGUUGUCAGAAUAUGGAGUGUCACGGAUGGUUCCUUGGAAAAUGUGGUAUGGCACCAGAAGAUAAACAGCAACAUUUUUAUACAUAACUCCGACAAGUAUGAGGAUCAAGCGCUCUGCUAUUUGACAUUAUAAAUAAAAUUUACUCUAUUAU